UACAGAGGUCCCAAGCGUUGUUCGGAUUCACUGGGCGUAAGGGUGCGCAGGUGGGUUUGCAAGUUCGAUGUGAAAGCCCCGGGCUUAACCCGGGAAUGGCAUUGGAUACUGCAGAUCUGGAGGAUCGGAGGGGGGACUGGAAUUCUUGGUGUAGCAGUGAAAUGCGUAGAUGUCAAGAGGAACACCAGUGGCGAAGGCGAGUCCCUGGACGAUACCUGACACUGAGGCACGAAAGCUAGGGGAGCAAACAGG
rnacentral:rRNA from 1 species